AACGCUAGCUACAGGCUUAACACAUGCAAGUCGAGGGGAAACGACAUCGAAAGCUUGCUUUUGAUGGGCGUCGACCGGCGCACGGGUGAGUAACGCGUAUCCAACCUGCCCACCACUUGGGGAUAACCUUGCGAAAGUAAGACUAAUACCCAAUGACGUCUCUAGAAGACAUCUGAAAGAGAUUAAAGAUUUAUCGGUGAUGGAUGGGGAUGCGUCUGAUUAGCUUGUUGGCGGGGUAACGGCCCACCAAGGCGACGAUCAGUAGGGGUUCUGAGAGGAAGGUCCCCCACAUUGGAACUGAGACACGGUCCAAACUCCUACGGGAGGCAGCAGUGAGGAAUAUUGGUCAAUGGACGAGAGUCUGAACCAGCCAAGUAGCGUGCAGGAUGACGGCCCUAUGGGUUGUAAACUGCUUUUAUAAGGGAAUAAAGUGAGUCUCGUGAGACUUUUUGCAUGUACCUUAUGAAUAAGGACCGGCUAAUUCCGUGCCAGCAGCCGCGGUAAUACGGAAGGUCCGGGCGUUAUCCGGAUUUAUUGGGUUUAAAGGGAGCGUAGGCCGGAGAUUAAGCGUGUUGUGAAAUGUAGACGCUCAACGUCUGCACUGCAGCGCGAACUGGUUUCCUUGAGUACGCACAAAGUGGGCGGAAUUCGUGGUGUAGCGGUGAAAUGCUUAGAUAUCACGAAGAACUCCGAUUGCGAAGGCAGCUCACUGGAGCGCAACUGACGCUGAAGCUCGAAAGUGCGGGUAUCGAACAGGAUUAGAUACCCUGGUAGUCCGCACGGUAAACGAUGGAUGCCCGCUGUUGGUCUGAAUAGGUCAGCGGCCAAGCGAAAGCAUUAAGCAUCCCACCUGGGGAGUACGCCGGCAACGGU
rnacentral:rRNA from 1 species